UCAGUUGAUUUUAGAUGACUAUACAAGUCAGACUGAACUUAAAUCUCUCGUUGCAUUGAAAACCCAAUAUCUCAUUCAAAGAAUCUUG
rnacentral:sRNA from 1 species